rnacentral:lncRNA from 1 species
GGCAUAUUCACCUCUUCUCACACAUACUGUACGUUGGAUGUCAUCAAGCCUUUUUUUUUAACUGAAAUAUAAUUGGUAUACAAUAUUAAUACAGUCUUUUUUUAGUUCAUUGGUGUACCCAUCUCCAUGCAAGUUUUGGUAAGGGGAGACAAAAGAAGAAGAAAUUCUAGUGUUUGAUGUCAUCAUCAUCAUCAUCAUCAUCCCAAACAUUUAUUAAAAACCUUGGCCAGUCAUCUGAGAUAUCACCUUACUGGCAAGACUACAUGGCACUUAGACCACACUGCUUAAUGGACUCCUGUGAGAGGAAAGGGGUUGGCUCAUCAAGCAAGAUGGUCUCUCUGAAUCAGCAAUCUCCAGUAAAAUUUUCAUACCUGAGUGAUCUGUUCCAGUGUCUGAAGACUCACUCAGUAAAGGAAGAAAAGAAGCUCAUUCUGCCUCAACGUUAGCUUUAUGAGAAGAAUGCUGGAGGAAUUGCAGAAGCAAAUCAAGUCAGCAUGAUAACUCAUCUUCAGUGGGUGCUUAACUGAAAUGAUCUUGUAAAGACACAAUGUUCUCUUCUGUUGCAUGUACAACCAGGUAUGUGAAAUGGGGCAACUGUUAAUGAGUUGAAAAGUUUAUUUAUUAAAUAUGAGUCUCAUUUUAAAUAUAGAAACAGCCCUGGGAAGGGUUUAGGUUUUCAGUGUCAAUAUCUUGUGUAUAUACUUGUACAGGAGUAUUUCUGGGUCAAAUUAGUACAUACUUGAUAAUAUGGAUGUUCUGUUUGUGCUGUUUUAAAGGCCAUAGUAAGUGCCAUUAAACAUAACAGUAGAAAAGAAAAGGCACAUCUGUGUAAUGAUUGGUAAUUGUCCACACAAUUCUCAGUUGUCUGAUGCUUGUUUCUCAUUCUCUUCUCUUUUCCAUCAGAAUAUUCAGGGAAAUGCCAUAGUCUGUACACUGAUGUCUUCCUAGAUUUGUGCUUUUGUACUUGACCUGUGAGGGAACUUUGUUGGAGUGUCAGCAUGGCUUCAACUGACUUAAAUAACAAACGGAGUAAAGUUAAGAAAAUAUAGUAAGUUUUUCUAAUUCUAAAUUAUUUUCUCAUUUGUAUCCUUUUUCUUUGGGUUAAAAAAUCAUUUUGAAACAUAAUAAAACAGGGAUAGUAAUUGGGAAAUUUUACA